rnacentral:rRNA from 1 species
CGGACGGGUGAGUAACGCGUGAGAAUCUGCCCUCAGGAGGGGGAUAACGGCUGGAAACGGCCGCUAAUACCCCAUAUGCCGCGAGGUGAAAUGAGAAAUCGCCUGAGGAUGAGCUCGCGUCUGAUUAGCUAGUUGGUGGGGUAAGAGCCUACCAAGGCAUCGAUCAGUAGCUGGUCUGAGAGGAUGAUCAGCCACACUGGGACUGAGACACGGCCCAGACUCCUACGGGAGGCAGCAGUGGGGAAUUUUCCGCAAUGGGCGCAAGCCUGACGGAGCAACGCCGCGUGAGGGAUGAAGGCCUCUGGGCUGUAAACCUCUUUUCUCAAGGAAGAAGAACUGACGGUACUUGAGGAAUAAGCCACGGCUAAUUCCGUGCCAGCAGCCGCGGUAAUACGGGAGUGGCAAGCGUUAUCCGGAAUUAUUGGGCGUAAAGCGUCCGCAGGCGGUCUUGAAAGUCUGUUGUUAAAGCGUGGAGCUCAACUCCAUUUCAGCAAUGGAAACUAGAAGACUAGAGUGUGGUAGGGGCAGAGGGAAUUCCCGGUGUAGCGGUGAAAUGCGUAGAUAUCGGGAAGAACACCAGUGGCGAAGGCGCUCUGCUGGGCCAUAACUGACGCUCAUGGACGAAAGCCAGGGGAGCGAAAGGGAUUAGAUACCCCUGUAGUCCUGGCCGUAAACGAUGAACACUAGGUGUCGGGGGAAUCGACCCCCUCGGUGUCGUAGCCAACGCGUUAAGUGUUCCGCCUGGGGAGUACGCACGCAAGUGUGAAACUCAAAGGAAUUGACGGGGGCCCGCACAAGCGGUGGAGUAUGUGGUUUAAUUCGAUGCAACGCGAAGAACCUUACCAGGGUUUGACAUCCUGCGAAUCUUUUGGAAACAGAAGAGUGCCUUCGGGAGCGCAGAGACAGGUGGUGCAUGGCUGUCGUCAGCUCGUGUCGUGAGAUGUUGGGUUAAGUCCCGCAACGAGCGCAACCCACGUCUUUAGUUGCCAGCAUUGAGUUGGGCACUCUAGAGAGACCGCCGGUGAUAAACCGGAGGAAGGUGUGGAUGACGUCAAGUCAUCAUGCCCCUUACAUCCUGGGCUACACACGUACUACAAUGCUACGGACAGAGGGCAGCAAGCUCGCGAGAGCUAGCAAAUCCCAUAAACCGUGGCUCAGUUCAGAUCGUAGGCUGCAACUCGCCUACGUGAAGGAGGAAUCGCUAGUAAUCGCAGGUCAGCAUACUGCGGUGAAUACGUUCCCGGGCCUUGUACACACCGCCCGUCACACCAUGGAAGUUGGCCAUGCCCGAAGUCGUUACUCCAACCCUUGUGGAGGAGGACGCCGAAGGUGGGGCUGAUGACUGGGGUGAAGUCGUAACAAGGUAACCGUA